rnacentral:sRNA from 1 species
AAGAUUAAAGCCUGGAAGCGAUUCGCAGGAAAACCUUAGAGGAGUCAAAGAUAUGACA